AGAGUUUGAUCCUGGCUCAGGACGAACGCUGGCGGCGUGCCUAACACAUGCAAGUCGAACGGAGUUGUUUCUUCUUUGAUAACUUAUUGUGUAACGGGUGAGUAACGCUUAAUAAACCUGCCUUUCCCUGGGGGACAACGGUUGAAAACGACUGCUAAUACCGCAUAAUGUUAUUUGGGGGCAUCCCCCAAUAACCAAAGAUUUAUUGAUAAAAGAUGGUCUCGCGUCUUAUUACCUUGUUGGCGGGGUAACGGCCCACCAAGGCCACGAUCACCAACCAGUCUGAGAGGAUGAACGGCCACGUUGGGACUGAUAUACAGCCCAAACUCCCACGAGACGCCACAGUGGGGAAUAUUGGGCAAUGGGGGAAACCCUGACACACCAUCACCCCGUGAAGGAAGAAGGCCUUCGAGUGUGUAAUCUUCUUUUCCCAGAGGAGCAUAAUGACGGUCCCUGGAGAAAAAGCAACGGCUAACUACGUGCCAGCAGCCGCGGUAAUACGUAGGUUGCAAGCGUUUUCCGGAUUUACUGGGUGUAAAGGGCGUGUAGGCGGAGAUGCAAUUUGGGAGUGAAAUCCCGGGGCUCAACCCCGGAACUGCUUUCAAAACUGUAUCCCUUGAGUCUCGGAGAGGCAAGCGGAAUUCCUAGUGUAGCGGUGAAAUGCGUAGAUAUUAGGAGGAACACCAGUGGCGAAGGCGGCUUGCUGGACGAUAACUGACGCUGAGGCGCGAAAGCGUGGGGACCAAACAGGAUUAGAUCCCCUGGUAGUCCCCGCUGUAAACGAUGAAUAAUAGGUGUGGGAGGACUGACCCCUUCCGUGCGGCAGUUAACACAAUAAGCAUUCAGUCUGGGGAGUGAGACCGCAAGGUUGAAAGUCAAAGGAAUUGACGGGGGCCCGCACACGCAGUGGAUUAUGUGGUUUAAUUCGAUUGCAACGAGAAGAACACUUCCCAGGGUUUGUACUAUCCAUCUAACGAAGUUGAGAUACAUUAGGUGCCCUUCGGGGAAAGAUUGAGACAGGUGGUGCAUGGUUGUCGUCAGCUCGUGUCGUGAGAUGUUGGGUUAAGUCCCGCAACGAGCGCAACCCUCGUUUUAUGUUGCCAGCGCGGUAUGGCGGGGACUCAUAGGAGACUGCCGGGGUCAACUCGGAGGAAGGUGGGGACGACGUCAAAUCAUCAUGCCCCUUAUGUCUUGGGCUUCAAGCAUGCUACAAUGGCCGGUACAAAGGGUUGCGAUGCUGUGAGGGGGAGGUAAUCCCAAAAAACCGGUUUCCGUUUGGAUUGAGGUGUGCAACUCGACCUCCAGAAGUUGGAGUCGGUAGUAAUUGCAGAUCAGCAACGCUGCGGUGAAUACGUUCCCGGGCCUUGCACUCACCGCCCGUCA
rnacentral:rRNA from 1 species